rnacentral:precursor_RNA from 10 species
CACGCUACUGGAACCCUGCACAUCAACAGUUCUGUUCAUCGGUAUGUCAAACGUCAAUGGGACUUCGUCCAUAUUGAUGAUACAGUCGCUGUUGAUGUUGUACUUCUUCAGCUGGUCGA